CCGAGUUAUACAACUCAUCAACCCUGUGAACAUACCUAAAACGUUGCUUCGGCGGGAACAGACGGCCCUGUAACAACGGGCCGCCCCCGCCAGAGGACCCCUAACUCUGUUAUUAUUAAUGCUUUUCUUGAGUAAUACUUAAGCAAAUAAGUUA
rnacentral:misc_RNA from 1 species